rnacentral:rRNA from 1 species
ACCCGCGGUAAUACGGAGGGGGCACGCGUUGUUGGGAAUUAUUGGGCGUAAAGGGCGCGUAGGCGGCGCGGUAAGUCACCUGUGAAUUCUCUCGGGUUACCUGGGAGCGUGCAGGCGAAACUACCGUGCUCGAGUAUGGGAGAGGUGCGUGGAAUUCCCGGUGUAGCGCUGAAAUGCGUAGAUAUCGGGAGGAACACCUGUGGCGUAAGCGGCGCACUGGACCAUAACUGACGCUGAGGCGCGAAAGCUAGGUGAGCACACAGGAUUAGAUACCCUGGUAGUCCUAGCCCUAAACCAUGAUUGCUUGGUGUAGCCGGUACCCAAUCCGGCUGUGCCGCAGCUAACGCGAUAA